rnacentral:rRNA from 1 species
GAUGAACGCUGGCGGCGUGCCUAAUACAUGCAAGUCGAGCGAACGGACGAGAAGCUUGCUUUUCUGAUGUUAGCGGCGGACGGGUGAGUAACACGUGGAUAACCUACCUAUAAGACUGGGAUAACUUCGGGAAACCGGAGCUAAUACCGGAUAAUAUUUUGAACCGCAUGGUUCAAAAGUGAAAGACGGUCUUGCUGUCACUUAUAGAUGGAUCCGCGCUGCAUUAGCUAGUUGGUAAGGUAACGGCUUACCAAGGCAACGAUGCAUAGCCGACCUGAGAGGGUGAUCGGCCACACUGGAACUGAGACACGGUCCAGACUCCUACGGGAGGCAGCAGUAGGGAAUCUUCCGCAAUGGGCGAAAGCCUGACGGAGCAACGCCGCGUGAGUGAUGAAGGUCUUCGGGUCGUAAAGCUCUGUUAUUAGGGAAGAACAUAUGUGUAAGUAACUGUGCACAUCUUGACGGUACCUAAUCAGAAAGCCACGGCUAACUACGUG